rnacentral:tRNA from 1 species
AUUUUAAUAGCUUAUAAAGAGUAUAAUAUUGAAGAUAUUAAGGAGAAUUUUUUCUUAAAAUA